rnacentral:rRNA from 1 species
UACGAAGGGGGCUAGCGUUGCUCGGAAUCACUGGGCGUAAAGCGCACGUAGGCGGAUCUUUAAGUCAGGGGUGAAAUCCUGGAGCUCAACUCCAGAACUGCCUUUGAUACUGAAGAUCUUGAGUUCGGGAGAGGUGAGUGGAACUGCGAGUGUAGAGGUGAAAUUCGUAGAUAUUCGCAAGAACACCAGUGGCGAAGGCGGCUCACUGGCCCGGUACUGACGCUGAGGUGCGAAAGCGUGGGGAGCAAACAGG